AUCGCGUGCCUGCUAUAUUAUAGACGUUUAUAGCCGUGUCUAAACGCCUUCAAGACAUCACAUAAAACACCAUGCUUUAUUGUUCGCGUCUACUAUUUUAUUUAGCUUAUAAUUUACACAUCAGUCGUCUCAGCUGGCUGGCAAUCACGACGUGGCUUUAGAUCAGUGGCAAAUAUCGACACCUAUAACUCAUACGAACACUGUAAUGUGGUGGGAAACGACGCAUGGAACUGGACUAAGUAGAAUGUACAUUUUAUCUGUCAUUUCCUUCAAAUAGUGUAGAGAAUAGCCAACAGAUCACGUGUCACCAGGUGUAACAGCAGUUGUUUUCAACAAAGGAUAUUAUACCACAAACAAAUUCUGACUUAUAGCUGUGGCACAGAUCUAGAUACAUAUCAUCGAAUGUAUCCCCAUGUAAAAUUAAAACACCGUUAAAAUCCUAUUUUAAUAGAAUUACUGUAAUAAGCGCUUAUUUCUUGGAGGGUGCUUUAUUGCAUUAGUGUCCGUAUGUUUUUCGUUUGAUUUUCUAGCUUAUGUAUGUAGCGCCUUGGAGGAUAUACGUAGUUCGUGCUUUUGAUAGCUUAUGCUUAUAGAUUCUUGUUGUCUGUGGUGCCGUCAGUGUGUACACAUCACACAAUAGCUAAGACUUCCACUCUAUCUGGCAUUACAAAAGAAUUGAAUUACAACACCAGCAGAUAAUUUUAUCCGUGUGAGUUGAUAUGAUUAUCACCGUACCCUACGUCAUUUCCAAUAAAAUAUUAACAACUAUACACAGCUAUAGAUAGAAACUGGACUUGUUGAUCCUGUGUUUGCUGUUUGAGGUGUCUGUGUGUAUUGUAUCCUGUCCGUAGGUUUGUCUUGUUGGUGUGUGGUGCGGUUCCACUGCACUUAAUAUUAACCAUAUAAAACCCUGUUGACGGUAUUGAAAAUUCAAGAUGUGUAAUUGUAAACGAUUUGCAUUAGAAGAAUUACAUCCUAGAAAUUUCUUGUUUGAUUAUCUUUACCCGGAAGAUUUUAUCCGAUUUCAGUGUAUCCAGUCAGUAUUUACAUAUAUAUUAUGGCGAUCAGUAUGGGCGAUAUGUUUUAUAUUUAUGCUGAUAUUAAACGGUACAAUCAGUGAUUAUUGGACACCUCCCAAUUAUGUACAUUAUCAAUGGUUUACAUAUUUAACUCACUGGACGUCCUUUCUACUGGCCUUUGUGUCUACCAUGGAUGCCAUUUGUGUUAUACAGAUUUAUCUUCAUAGACCCGAUAUUGUUAAAGGUGAAUUCAGACAAAUGCCCUGGUAUGUAAAAAUAAACUGGUUGUGCACGACUAUCAACAGCAACUUGGUAUUACUGGUUACACUGAUACACUGGAUAUUCGUAUAUAAAGGUGAAAGUGUGUCAAUAUUUGCAGUGGUUACUUAUGGAGGAACUGCGCUCUACGUCACGAUAAAUGCCUUAAUUACGUCAUCUCCAAUACGUAUUCUUCACGUUGUCUAUCCAAUGGUGAUGGUGACAAUGUACGCCAUUACAAACUUUGUGUAUCAAGAAGCAAAUUUAGCCAACAGCGGCGCGAGUCCAAAAAGUUAUCCGGGAUGGCAAACAUAUAAAGACAUUUUAUCGACCGAUUUAGUCUUUGUAGUUGGUGCUGGGGUGGUUCAUAUGUAUCUCUACACCUUAUAUGUCUUUAGACUUUUGGUUGCCAAGGCGUGGUGUACGAAUAAUAGAACUUUUAUUUACUGGCAACCAUUGGAAUCAUGUGACACGAUACGCCAAGAUGUCCGAUAUACUUACCUUACGGCAUCGUAAGUAUUUAUUACAAAGAAAAACUUUGGAAACGCAUCACAUCAUCCCGUUGGUUAGAUAAUUCCAUAAACAUCAGAGGGCUUUGGGCGCUUUAUAUACGCUUUGGGUAGCACAAUAUACGCAAUGGUUACCUGUGGUGCAUAAGCUACAAUGGAUUACGGUCAGGUUUAGAACCGAGAGUAUUAGGUUUUCAACAUAGAGCAGUAAGCACAUUACAUACGGAUUGGGCUGCAAAAAAUGACAAUCGGCCAUAGGUUUAAUUCGUAAAUAUUAUUAUAGACAAUGGUGGAUGAAAUGUGUUUUAUAAAGAAGGUUAGAACGAGUCCUUGGGCUACAAGAUCUCAAUGAAACCGGACUUUGCACAUAGUUUCUUAUUGAUGUAUUUGAUACACUAAAACAACAAGCGGUUUAUAAAGAGCUAUAUUUUAGGACAAAUAUGGCGAACAAUUUUGAGUAAAUUCUAGCUUAAGUCUGGAAAUGCUUUCUGGACUCGGGGCGGGGGCGUACUGGAUUCGGUAGUUAUUACUGAACCUUACUAUCGUUACGGCAAUUAGUCUGUCAGACUGGAGCAAUGUAUAUGAACAUUUAUUGUUGAAUCUCCUUUUGUUAACAGUCUCUUUGUGGCUUUCGUUUUGAACAUGUUACAAUCUUUUGAUGUGAAUUGUGCUAUCAAUUCGGAUUUGUGGCAGACGCUGUCUACAUCUGUGAAUGGACUUUUCAAAAGUACAUUUGGAUUUUAAUGAAGCAAAUGACUUAAAAUGAAAUGUUUAGUGUCAGUGACGAAUUUCUACGUGUUCCAAAUAGUUUUACCAUGGAUCGUAUACACGGUCAGUGGUUUUACUAGUUGAAUAAGUACACGUGAUGGCAAUGUCUGAACUGUUUCUGUAUUCUAAUAAAAGAUGGAUAAUGAUGACAGAUACCCGGUGCUCAACUUUUAGAAAAAUUCUACACCACCUAAUAGGUCAUUACUGCAUUAGUGACGUCACCCAUCGACCAGAUCUUUCAAUAUGGGCUCGCAAGGUUAUAGAUGGCGAUGCUUUUAGUAUAUCGGUCGAAGUUGUUUAUUUUGUAUGUCGAAAUUAACUUUUAGUCUUGUUUCUGCCUUUUUCAACUGCCAAUUGCUUGUUCUGAUUCCGACGAUGACGUAACGAACCCAAUCUUUAAUCUCGUCUGCCGUGUGGAAGUGUUUAGUCAUCGUUGUCCAUCUGUUGUUAAAUAUAGAAAUAGGUGGUGCAUCGCCUUUAACCAAUUUAUAUAGUCACUGCUGUCAGCUUCAUAUGUAUUAUAGCUGUGUAUAGACUGCGGGGCAUCCUGUACAACUUUAGACUUGCCAUACAAUAUGUUAGUUACAGUCUAUAACACUUUAACUCUUGUUGAUAAAGGUAAAACGGCUUGUCCUUGUGGGUGGAAAAUAAAAUAAUCGAUUUAAUUUCAUGUGUUUUGUGAAGUGGUUCGGUUAUCUGUUGACAUUAACAAUCUUAGAUCCGCAGAUUAAACAGUGUUAAAAGAGGGGCUUCAUUAGUCGACAGUUUCAGCAAAUUAAAAUAAAUGAACAGACCUACUUCUGCUUAUCUUCCGUGGUUCUUGCCCAUGGAUAGAAAUCGCAAACCAGAUCAACCUAAUUUCAGCUGUUUUGCUCAUUUGGGACGUUGUAUUUGUGAGACGGGUGACUCGCGUCGUUUAAAAUUCCUUUACUUGCCCCGUCCGAUAAAUAUUGCUCUCUACCGUUUGUCACUGCGAACCAAGGUUUAGUCAAUAAUAUUUUAUCAUUACGAGUCACAUCUUGCUGCUUGGUUUUAGCUUGCGGGUCUAUACAUAUAUAUAUAUAUAAUAUGGCUGGGUUGUUUUCAUAGAAAACAUGUAGGUACUAAUUGGUGUAUUAUUUUUUAUGUCUUUCUUUGUGAAAACGCCGGGAGAAUGUAUAUCACUUAUUCAACAAAGCUACAAAAAUUAUAUAAUGUACACGUAUUGAUUUACAAUGAUCAUGAUUAUCAAUCUAUUAUGGCUUCCAGUCGAUAAUGAAGAUUCCAUUGGGUAUUAUUAAAAUGAAUACGAGCAAUGCUGUUUUAAGUUCUUGCACUUUGCAAGACUUCAGUCCGCCAAUCUGUUUAUAACACAGAUCCAAUUAACUUCGUUUCGUUUUUAUAGUUCAAAAUUUCGUUUUACUUGUCUUUACUAGACUAGGAUCUGGAAGAGUUGUUAUCAUUGACGUGUUCUGGAUGAUGUGAGGGAUUAGAAAAUGAAACGGUCUGUUUGGCGUGAGGUGACCGGAACUGGGGGUAAUCCACUAAAAACAUCAAUGUUGAGUGGUUAAUCAAAUGUCUGACGUCAUAGGGUCAAAAGUCGCUCUUAUGACCUCUGACACGACCUUCCAAAACAACUGGUCGGCUCUUCGUGUAGUAUAGGCCAUCGAAAGUAUAACAAAAACAAAGUAUAAAUCUGUAUUUUAACCAGAUUGUCAGUCGGCAGUUCCCGGAAUUUUUCCAUAACAGAUCGAUCAAAUGAACAAAAAAUGAUUCUGAUUACCCCUUCAUUACGACAUAGUUAGGAGUGCUGGCUGAACAGUUCUAAGCCUGAAAAGGGCAGAUCAAUUGGGUUGAAACAAACUUUUGCCACCAACAAGUACAAUCAUAAGAACUGCGACUAUAGCGUGAUUAUCGUCUUCGUACCAGGCCAUCUUGCGAGCCUAUCCAUUGAAAUCACCAGAAAUCGACAAACUGGCUAUAUGACAGUCACCAUGUACCUGCAACAGAAUGGACUUACCCCAAUACAGACACAUGCCGACAUGGUUUCCACUUUAGUGCAUGGUGCCUCUUCAUUUUGCACAUUAAAGAAGUGGGUUGUGGAAUUUAAGCGCAACAGAGAGAGCCUUGGCGAUGCCCCGCUUCCUCGAAGGCCAUAAACAGCCACCAUUCAAGAAAACAUUAACCGGGUGUAUGAUAUGGUGAUUGCUGAUCGACGAUUGGCCACUCGUCAUAUUACCAGUGUUCUGGACAUCUCUCAUGAGAGGGUUGAGCAAUUAUCGCCAAUGGGUUAGAAAUCACAAAAGUUUCUGCAAGAUGGGUGCCAAUUAGGCUCUUGACUGCGGGUCAGAAACGUGUCAGAUUCCUGACGUCAAAAUCUGCGCCGUUUUGAAGCAGAUCAUGGUAAUAUUUUGGCUAGAUUCGUAACCAUGGAUGAGACCUGGGCUUAUCACUAUCAUCCUGAAUCCAAAAUUCCUGCUUUGAACGACUUUUUAUGGUGGCUUAAUAAAAUUUCUUCCUGUCCGACAUCCAGGCCUUGCCACAGAAUUGGCAAAGGUGUGUAAACCUCGAACCUUUAGCAGAAUUUUCAGCCAGCCCUCGUAUCUCGUAAUUAUGGCAGAGCUAUCUGGUAAAUACGAGAGAAUUUUAAGAUAGCCUACCGGGAAGCUGGGCAAACAUGCAUAUUGAAACUAAUGCAAUCAGCUUAUUCACUUCAUGCUCUCAUUAAUAUCAUUAUUAUCAAUUUUACAUUACAUGAAAUAUCAAUGGUUAAGUUCAUGCUCUCAUUUUUCCCCUAUUGUCAUGCCCUCGUUUUAACCAUUAAUGUUAUUAUUUGUUGAGAUUGGGUGUUUUAUGUAGUAAUAUCGCUUAUUGAAAAAAACAAUAUGAUCUAUUUCCUCGAAUACUCGAGAUUGGAAUUUUUAUGUAGUAAUAUCGCUUAUUGAAAAAAACAAUAUGAUCUAUUUCCUCGAAUACUCGAGAUUGGAAUUUUUAUGUAGUAAUAUCGCUUAUUGAAAAAAACAAUAUGAUCUAUUUCCUCGAAUACUCGAGAUUGGAAUUUUUAUGUAGUAAUAUCGCUUAUUGAAAACAAUACUCAAUAUAAACUAAAUACUCGAAUACUAUAGAAUUUUUUCUUUUUUUGUUUUUGAAAGCAAUAUCUAAGUACUGCAAUGCUUGGACUUUUUCUGGGUUCAAUUUGAAUUGGGUUACAAAUGUAAUUUUUACGAUGCAUAAUUUACAGCUAUAAUGAAUCAUCAUAAUCCAUGUAAUAAGAUAUUUUGGCAAUGGGCACAAAUAAUAAAGGGUGUCAUAAUAUAAAUAAAGAAUCGUUAUCACAGUU